rnacentral:lncRNA from 1 species
AUGACAACAACGACAAGAAUGACAAUGACGAGAACAACGAAAACAAUGACUACAACAACAACAACAACNACAAUAACAACAACAACAACAACAUCAACAAUGACGACGACGACAACAACAACAAUAAUAAUGACAACAUCGAUAGCAACAACAACAACAUAAACAAAAACAACAAUAACAACGAAAACGACGACGACCACCACCACUACAACAACAACAACAACAACAACAACUACAACAAC